GAUGUAAUAUUAUUUAUUUUUUUUUUUCUUUUAGAUAUGUAUUUUAUACUUCUAUAACACACAUAAUAUUUACGUUCAUCAAAAUGGAAUUCUUAUUGUUGGAAGAAAAAUAUAAAAACAUUGUGUCAAACUAUGAAAAUAUGAUUCUUAAGAGAGAAACAGAAUGCCUACAAAAAAAAAUCAAGAAUUUAGAAGAUGUUUAUAUCGAAAAAGAAAAUAAAAUUAUGGAAAUAUUAGAAGAGAAAGAAGAUCUUAAAGAUCAUAUAUUCGAAAUAGAAAACGAAAAUUCCAAACUAAGGGAUAAUAUUGCCAAGCUUAAUGAAAGAAUAUUAGUAAACAUAAGAAAUUGUUAA
rnacentral:lncRNA from 1 species